rnacentral:lncRNA from 1 species
GAGUCUGCUGACAUCCACACUGCCAGAGGAAAGCCACCCUUGCCCUGGCAGUUUGGUAAAUCUGCCCUAGGACCUGGCUGUAAAAUUGAAGCAUUUCUUCCUGAAGCACCAAAGCAAAAAAUCGAAAAGAAGCCAGGAAGCUCAGCACAGAGCGCAUCAGACUGGAACCGUUCAUCCAAUGGAGGCUGCCCUCCUUUCUGGAGAUGUGGGGGCAAAUCUGCAUUUGUCAGAUGCAAACUGGAUUUCCUGCUCUCCACUUCACACACGUACUUCCAAAAGCCUCAUUUUCCAACAAAUUUACUGCUAUCUGGAACCAUCCCAGCUCUUCCUUUGCUGCUUCUGCCCCGAUGAGAUUUACCCAGUGGAAAGGCAUAGCCUGUUGUCCUCAAGGCACAGUGGCAGCAGACCUGUAACGACAGGAGUGUGAUAAAUAGAGAAUAAUGUGUCCUGCUAGACAGAAUAAUAAGAUUACAUCCGAGCUGCCAUAUCAUAUCAAUUAAACCCUCGGCCCUUUUAGUCCAGCAAAUCCAUGCUGCCGCAGCAAUUGGUACUCUGGGGAGAAGGAGGAGAACAGGACUGACACAUCCUGCCUAAAAUAACCCUGGCUUUCCCAGUGCUGUCUGCUCAGGCAGCAGGCAAGGCUUCCAGGUGCACCAUGGCUCUGAGCACUGCCAGCCGUGGGGUUCUUACCCCCAAAUGAGAGAGGUAGGGUGGGGUACCCCGUGCCGGCUGCCUUGCAGGUCACAGAGUUGCAGGAGCCAUAUGUACCUGCAGGGUGGGAGGCACUACCUUCUGCCUGGACUGCCUGGCUCUGCUGAUGGCAAUGUUCAUUUGUCCCAGGUGACAGCAGCAUCCUGAGCACUCUUUUUCUGACAACAUAAAGUGCACAUCAUGGGCUUGCCUGGCCCACUCUCCUCUGUGAUACAGCUCUUUCCUGUGGAAGAUGUAGCAUCUCCCUUGGGCAAACCUGGCAUUUGAAGAGGUAACAGGCAGAGCAAAGUACUCAACAGAAAAUGUCUCAAUCCCUCAGUCUGCUGCAACACUGUAUGAGGCCAUCAUAUACUCAGAAGUGUGUUUUCGUAGAGCAUCUGUUGGUUUAAUUAGAUGUAUCUUGGCUAUUCAUUCAGUUGGUUAAGCAAUGGUUUUCAGACUGUUGUCAUGAACUAACCAUAUAUAUUCUCUGAGAAAGGGCUUAAAUACAGCCAACUGAAUUUUAUUUAUUUAUUUUAAUAUGGGCAGUAAAAACUUCUGAGAGAUCAGGAAUGAUUGUUUUCCACCUGAUCUGGGCUGGAUGAGCAUGGCUGAACUGCACUGUCUGUUCCCCAGGUAUUUCCCUGGGAACAGGAUGGGACAUAAAUCCUUCCUGCUCUUUUCCCAGCUGCUUUCGACACAUCUCUUACCUAGAAAGGUUGAACAGAUUGUUCCAAAGGCAUAAAAGCCAAGAAAUGCCUGGUUGCUUAUCAAUUUCAGGAGUUUUACUCCUGAACUUGCUGAUAUCUAAGAAGAUUCGAUCUCCAGGUGAUUUUUUACUUGGGAUUCAAGGCUUCUUGGUGCCUCUUUUCCAUGUGAGACCACUGGUGACUCUAGGGUAAGGUGCUGCACCAAACCUCUCUGCAAAAUGACACAUACCUGCUGUCAGAUCCCCACCAGAUGGAGGGCCUGGGAAGAAGAAGGCAAAAGAAAAAAAUUGCUGUACAACAGAGCUAGUCAAAGCCUCCGGGAAAUGUGGUGGAGUGUCUAUGGACACUUUGAAUGAGUCUGUUGCCUCUGUCAUGCCCAGGCUUCCUGCACUGUGGUAUGCCAUUCAUUUUCUGUGCUUUUCCCAUUAGUGUGGGCACCUGGGACAGGCUUCUUUGCUGUGAUCAUCAGUGCACUGGCCAACAAGGUCCCCUUCUGGCCCGCUUUUUAGGUAGAAGGGAGGUAGAAGAGCAGAAAGCAGAGGAGAGUGAGGAGUGUGCAGAGAAUUAAGCAGCCAAGGAAGGGUUGACGUGUAAAAUAUUUGGAAGUGACCUGCAGCAAAGGGCAAGAGAAAAAAAGAUAAAGGGACUCAGAGAGAGCUCCAAGAGGAGACUGAAGAUGAAAAGAUCAGCUCUUCUGAAGGCAGACAAGCAUUCUGGUCAUGUACAGCACCAUUUCUCAGGUGGGGUAGCUGGCGCCAGGGACGAAACUCUCAUUCCUGCUGCAAGGUGUAAGGUGGCAAAGGUUACAGCUACGUAGCAAAGGUGCAGGGAUGUCACUGAUUUCUAAGCCAAGGUUUUUUCUAACUGAAAUGGCAGUAUUACUUUCAAAA